rnacentral:rRNA from 1 species
ACACGUAUCCAACCUGCCGUCUACUCUUGGACAGCCUUCUGAAAGGAAGAUUAAUACAAGAUGGCAUCAUGAGUCCGCAUGUUCACAUGAUUAAAGGUAUUCCGGUAGACGAUGGGGAUGCGUUCCAUUAGAUAGUAGGCGGGGUAACGGCCCACCUAGUCUUCGAUGGAUAGGGGUUCUGAGAGGAAGGUCCCCCACAUUGGAACUGAGACACGGUCCAAACUCCUACGGGAGGCAGCAGUGAGGAAUAUUGGUCAAUGGGCGAGAGCCUGAACCAGCCAAGUAGCGUGAAGGAUGACUGCCCUAUGGGUUGUAAACUUCUUUUAUAAAGGAAUAAAGUCGGGUAUGCAUACCCGUUUGCAUGUACUUUAUGAAUAAGGAUCGGCUAACUCCGUGCCAGCAGCCGCGGUAAUACGGAGGAUCCGAGCGUUAUCCGGAUUUAUUGGGUUUAAAGGGAGCGUAGAUGGAUGUUUAAGUCAGUUGUGAAAGUUUGCGGCUCAACCGUAAAAUUGCAGUUGAUACUGGAUAUCUUGAGUGCAGUUGAGGCAGGCGGAAUUCGUGGUGUAGCGGUGAAAUGCUUAGAUAUCACGAAGAACUCCGAUUGCGAAGGCAGCCUGCUAAGCUGCAACUGACAUUGAGGCUCGAAAGUGUGGGUAUCAAACAGGAUUAGAUACCCUGGUAGUCCACACGGUAAACGAUGAAUACUCGCUGUUUGCGAUAUACAGCAAGCGGCCAAGCGAAAGCGUUAAGUAUUCCACCUGG